GGCAAAGUGGCCGAGUGGUUAUGGCGCACGGUUCAGGUUUGUGCGAAUCUUCGGGUUUGCCUCGUGUCCGUGUUUCGAAAGAUACCUGGGUUCGAAUCCCAGCUUUGUCA
rfam:Aspergillus terreus NIH2624 scaffold_14 genomic scaffold, whole genome shotgun sequence.